rnacentral:lncRNA from 1 species
AAAUAAUUAGGAUUAAAAUUAUGUUUUGUUAAUUUUCAGAAAUUUAUUUUUGGUAAUUUUGUUAUAAUGAUUUUUUCAGAUUUUAGAAUGUUUUUAUAUGGAAUAAUUUUGAAAAUUUGGGAAUAUGGUUUUACAAGUUUUAAAGUAAAACUAGGAUUAGAUAUAUUUGUAUUAAUAAAUUUGUUAAAAUCUUGAUAUUUGAUUUGGAGGAGGAUUUGAAUUUCUUAAUUUUAUUAUAAAUAGGAU